UACGGGGGGGGGCAAGCGUUGUUCGGAAUUACUGGGCGUAAAGGGCUCGUAGGUGGCCAACUAAGUCAGACGUGAAAUCCCUCAGCUUAACUGGGGAACUGCGUCCGAUACUGGAUGGCUUGGAUUUGGGAGAGGGAUGCGGAAUUCCAGGUGUAGCGGUGAAAUGCGUAGAUAUCUGGAGGAACACCGGUGGCGAAGGCGGCAUCCUGGACCAAUAUUGACGCUGAGGAGCGAAAGCUAGGGGAGCAAACGGG
rnacentral:rRNA from 1 species